AUUGUUAAGCAUAGACAAUCGAUUGUUGACUAUUUUGAAAAAUUCCAGAUUACACUGUCUAAUGACAAUCGAUUGUUAGACAUAGACAAUCGAUUGUAAAUGAUUUUUGAAAAAUUCCAGAUUACACUGUCUAACGAUAAUCGAUUGUUAAACACUGACAAUCGAUUGUUGACUGUUUUUGAAAAAUUCCAGAACACACUG
rnacentral:lncRNA from 1 species